rnacentral:rRNA from 1 species
AUUGAACGCUGGCGGCAGGCCUAACACAUGCAAGUCGAGCGGCAGCGGAAAGUAGCUUGCUACUUUGCCGGCGAGCGGCGGACGGGUGAGUAAUGUCUGGGAAACUGCCUGAUGGAGGGGGAUAACUACUGGAAACGGUAGCUAAUACCGCAUGACCUCGCAAGAGCAAAGUGGGGGACCUUCGGGCCUCACGCCAUCGGAUGUGCCCAGAUGGGAUUAGCUAGUAGGUGGGGUAAUGGCUCACCUAGGCGACGAUCCCUAGCUGGUCUGAGAGGAUGACCAGCCACACUGGAACUGAGACACGGUCCAGACUCCUACGGGAGGCAGCAGUGGGGAAUAUUGCACAAUGGGCGCAAGCCUGAUGCAGCCAUGCCGCGUGUGUGAAGAAGGCCUUCGGGUUGUAAAGCACUUUCAGCGAGGAGGAAGGCAGUCGUGUUAAUAGCACGAUUGAUUGACGUUACUCGCAGAAGA